GUCUUUCUUAAUGAUAUAUUUUUUCAGGGUUUGAUCUUUUUCUCGCUUUGUUCUCACAUUGUUUCUCUAAUUGCCACUGAUUCAGCAACUUUAUUUUUUAGAUCGGAAGGAAGAACAAACAACUACUUUCAAGAUAACUUUGGAUCAUUAAAACAAAUAUGGCCAAACGUGUGUAGCCACCCUGAAGCUCUUUACAACAGAGAAUAAGGAAAUGCUUUUUAGGCAUGUUUUGAAUUCUUGGACUUCCUAGCAAAAUUCUGCACUGCAUAUCUAUGGCAGUAAGAGCCCUGCAGCUAGCAUAGAAGAUGCUGUUAAUGUGAAGGUUGCUGUUAAACUAAGUACAGAGCAACUAAUCUUUAGCUGAGAAAGAAGACUGCCAACAGGAAAAUCGGGGUCCUGGAGAUAGGAAGGACAUUAUAGCAGUUCUGGGAGAGAAGAGGUUGUUCAUGUUCUCCACUGACAAACAGAAAUAACAAGCAGAAAUGCGGAGGCAGGAGCUACCUGCAAUAUCUCCCAGUGCUCCCUUCCUCAGGACUUUCAGCCCCUAAAGUCACUUCCCAAUCUGUGCAUGAGAGACUGAAAUGGCAAUGGUUAAUGACUAAAGGAUUGCCCUUUGGAAAAGCGUCGGGUGCUUUGCUGUCCAAGGAAACAGCCCAGGUGCAGAGG